rnacentral:lncRNA from 1 species
AAAAAAAAAAAACACACACACACACUUAAACACUUGAUUGAACUCCCCAAAACAGUUGGCUGAACAAAUAUUUAAUGCCCUUAUUCUAUUGCUUUCAUUCCAUCUUCUCCAUUUUGGAACCAAAUUAAGCUUUGCUUGAUUAUGCAAUUCAAACAGUAAACGAUAUGCCGCAAUUCCCCCUGCUGCUUAUUAAUACAUCAAGAAUCAUAUGCAAUUCUAUUCAUGCCCUUGUGCAAUCAUAUCAUUAGUUACAUUACUCAAUUUAACAAGAACGCAAGCAUCAUUUCCUGUGCUUUUCAGAGAAACUAGGAUGAAAGUUCAUGUACCAAAGUUCAGUGUAUAGUAAAUUUCAAAUGAAAAUUGAGAUCAUUUUCGAUUACACCAUCAGUCCAUAUAUUGACUAGAAUGAAAAUUCAAAAUUAGAUACCAUCUCACAGAGAACCUAACAGAAUAUAUAUAUACACAUUCAUUCAUAGUGAAGACAAGAGUAGAGUAACAUUUGUAGACCAAAGAACAACACAAAGUUAACCAUCUGAAGGAAUAAACAUUAAUCAAAUUCUCCUGUACCUGAAUAUUGAUAGCUAUUUCUGUUUAUCUUUUUCUAUAUCAAAAUUUCAUUCUUUUUGCAGGUCCUUGAUCAAUUAUGGGAUCAACAGAAGGUGCUUGCGACUCAGUUGCUUCCUGAGUUUCAGGGCCUUUCUCAGUUUCUGCUGUUGAAGGUGGAACAUACCCUUCUGGAAAUGGUGGUGGAGGUGGAGCUGGCGGAAGCUACAGAGGCAAGUAAAUAUUCACUUACAAUCAACUAUUUGUUUAGAGUCUUAAAUGUUGUAAAACUCUAAUUGGAACAAUAUUUAGGUUUAACCUUAGUUUACAUUUAUCAACAAACUCACAAUUACAGCUACUUGUUUAAAUUUCUAUAUUUAGGACUAGGCAUGUUGGGCAAUACCUCUCAUUCCUUGUUACUCAAGGCACAUGUUUUAAUAAGCUUCUAAUAAUGUGCUACGUGAUUUUUUGAAAAGGAAACAACGGAAACUUGUAUAUCAACUCACCUUGUGUUGCAAGGAUGCAAGAAUAUGAUCCACCCGCUUAAGUUCUUUUAUGUCAACUGUCUCUUUAC